rnacentral:rRNA from 1 species
UACAGAGGUCCCAAGCGUUGUUCGGAUUCAUUGGGCGUAAAGGGCGCGUAGGCGGCUUGGCAAGUUUGAUGUGAAAUCUCCGGGCUUAACCCGGAAAAUGCGUUGAAUACUAUUUGAGCUGGAGGUUUGGAGGGGGGACUGGAAUUCUUGGUGUAGCGGUGAAAUGCGUAGAUAUCAGGAGGAACACCAGUGGCGAAGGCGAGUCCCUGGACAGCACCUGACACUGAGGCACGAAAGCUAGGGGAGCAAACAGG